AUAGUGUCAGUUUUCUUUUCGUCAACGAGAGUGAAAAUGCCUUGGUCAGAUAUUUUUUUCUGAAAGCGAAAUGCUCUGUCUGAAAAAUACAAAACCAUUACGAUGAUCUGUACGGUCAACUAGACGGGCUCAAACGGCAAUACGAUGCGAGCUGAAACAUGGAAAUCUAUGCUGACAAAUUUGCGAAGAUAAUGAGCUACUCAACUGGAAGCUUCAAGGCGACAGAACUUUUCAGAAAUUAUGAAAAUGUUUGGGAAAACAAAACCAAGAGUGCCAUGUCAAGCAUGAAGACACAGCUUCACAUAAACCCAGAACAAAUGCUAUAUGAGUCCAGAACCAGAAAUGAUAUUCUUCGGGACAUAAACACAAAUUUGGAUGAAGAACUCUCGCCUAACUUUUUGCUUUAAAAAAAGAAAUAUUUCAACGUUCAAUUAUUUCCAGAAAUCUUAAUCUGUAUUUACUGAUAUGACAUGAUGUGUAUAUUGUACUCUCUAAAUAUUAUAAAUAACUCUUAAUAAAUAUGAAUGUUC